rnacentral:rRNA from 1 species
UGGGGAAUCUUGGACAAUGGGGGCAACCCUGAUCCAGCCAUGCCGCGUGAGUGAUGAAGGCCUUAGGGUCGUAAAGCUCUUUCGCCUGUGAAGAUAAUGACGGUAGCAGGUAAAGAAACCCCGGCUAACUCCGUGCCAGCAGCCGCGGUAAUACGGAGGGGGACUAGCGUUGUUCGGAAUUACUGGGCGUAAAGCGUCAGUAGGCGGACCAGAAAGUUGGGGGUGAAAUCCCGGGGGCUCAACCCCGGAACUGCCUCCAAAACUAUCGGUCUAGAGUUCGAGAGAGGUGAGUGGAAUUCCGAGUGUAGAGGUGAAAUUCGUAGAUAUUCGGAGGAACACCAGUGGCGAAGGCGGCUCACUGGCUCGAUACUGACGCUGAGGUGCGAAAGUGU